rnacentral:lncRNA from 1 species
UCAGGUGCCUACACCACCAGGGCCCUGGGUUUCAGGCAAAAAACAGGGCAGCUGUUUGGGCAGACAUCGAGCUAGCUGCAGGAGUCUUUUUUCGUACCCUAGUGGCACCUGGAACACCAGUGAGACAGAACCCUUCACUCCCCUGGAAAGGGGGUUAAAGCCAGGGAACCAAGUGGUCUUGCUCAGUGGAUCCCACCCCCAUGGAGGCCAGCAAGCUAAGAUCCACUGAUUUGAAAUUCUCACUGAGAACACAGCAGUCUAAAAUCAACCCAGGGCACUAGAGUUUGGUGGGGGAAGCGGCGUCUGCCAUUACUAAGGCUCAAGUAAGCAGUCUUCCCCUCACAGUGAAAACAAAGCCACCAGGAAUUUCGAACUGGGCAGAGCUCAGUGCAGCUCUGCAAAGCCGCUGUAGCCAGACUGCUUCUCUAGAUUCCUCCUCUCUGGGCAGGGCAUCUCUGAAAGAAAGGCAGCAGCUCCAGUCAGGCACUUAUAGAUAAAAUUCCCAUCUCUUUGGGACAGAGCACCUGGGGAAAGUGGUGGCUGUGGGUGCAGCUUCAGCAGACUUAAAUGUUCCUGCCUGCCGGCUCUGAAGAGAGCAGCAGAUCUCUCAGCACAGUGCUCGAGCUCUGCUAAGGGACAGACGCCUCAAGUGGGUCCCUGACCCCUGUGCCUCCUGACUGGGAGACACCUCCCAGCAGGGGUCAAUAGACACGUCAUACAGGAGAGCUCUGCCUGGCGUCUGGCAGGUGCCCCUCUGGGAUGAAGCUUCCAGAGGAAGGAACAGGCAGGAAUCUUUGCCGUUCUGCAGCCUCUGCUGGUGAUACCCAGGGAAAGAGGGUCUGGAGUGGACCUUCAGAAAACUUCAGCAGACCUACAGCAGAGAGGCCUGACUGUUAGCAAAAAACUAACAAACAGAAAGGAAUAGAAUCAACAUGAAUGAAAAGGAUGUCCACACAAAAACCCCAUCCAAAGGUCACUAACAUCGAAGACCAAAGGUAGAUAAAUCCGCGAAGAUGAGGAAAAACCAGCACAAAAAGGCUGAAAAUUCCAAAAACCAGAACACUUCUUUUACUCCAAAGGAUCACAACUCCUCGCCAGCAAGGAAACAAAACUGGACAGAGAAUGAGUUUGAGGACUUGACAGAAGUACGCUUCAGAAGGUGGGUAAUAAUAAACUACUCUAAGCUAAAGGAGCAUGUUUUAACCCAAUGCAAGGUAGCUAAGAACCUUAAAAAUAGUUAGAGGAAUUGCUAACUAGAAUAACGAGUUUAGAAAAGAAUAUAAAUGACCUGAUGGAGCUGAAAAACACAGCACAAGAAUGUUGUGAAGCAUACGCAAGUAUCAAUAGCCGAAUCAAUCAAGCGGAAGAAAGGAUAUCAGAAAAUGAGGAUCAACUUAAUGAAAUAAAGCGUGAAGACAAGAUUAGAGAAAAAAGAAUGAAAGAGAAUGAACAAAGCCUCCAAGAAAGAUGGAACUAUGUAAAAUGACCAAACCUACAUUUGAUUGGUAUACCUGAAAGUGACGGGGAGAAUGGAACCAAGUAGGAAAACACUCUUCAGGAUAUUAUCUAGGAGAACUUACCCAACCUAGCCAAGACAGGCCAACUUUCAAAUUCAGGAAAUACAGAGACCACCACAAAGAUACUCCUCGAGAAGAGCAACCUGAAGACACAUAAUCCUCAGAUUCUCCAAGGUUGAAAUGAAGGAAAAAAUGUUAAGGGCAGCCAGAGAGAAGUAACUAUUCUUAAAUAGUUGUUUUUAACACUUUUAUUCAUUUUCUAUUUUACAGAUGAGAAAAUAAGACUCCAGAAAUUACCAGCCCAUGGAUAUACAGUUAGGGGAAAUCUGAACAAAGACAGACGGAGAGGAUGCUGUGCGACAAUGGAAGCAGAGAUUGGAGUGAUACACCUACAAACAAAGGAAUCCGAAAGACUGCUGGCAAUUGCCAGAGACUAGGACAGAGGGAUGGUACAGAUUCUCCCUCAGUGCCUCCAGAAGGAACCAAUCCUGCCGAAACCUUGAUUUUGGACUUUCAGCUUCCAGAAACAGUAAAUAUACAUUGUUUUAAGCUAUCCAGUUUGUGGUGACUUGUUAUGGCAGCCCUCAGAAACCAAUACAGUAAUUUCCACAUCAUCAGUCUUGAAGAAAAAGGUUAUAGGAACAGGAGUCAACCUCUUGGAGUUUCAAUUUCCUCCCCUAUAAAUUGGGAAUAAUAACAUCUGUCCUUCCAUUGUACUGAGAAAAUGAUCAUAAAAAUACUAAGAAACUGAUUUAUAAAUGCAGGGUAUUACUCUUUCGGAUGUAUGCUUCUAAUUGCUUUGUCAGCUCUAAUUUAUUGCGUUGUUCUCUUUCCCUUUCUUUAAGAUCAUCUAUUUUCAAGUAACAUUUGCCUUCCUUGGAGAAGUUACUGUUUGGGUGUUAAGUUGCUUAUUUAAAAAAUAACCAUCUCUAGCAUAAAAGUGAGAAUUCAAAUUAUACAUCUGUAACACCACCCACUCUCCU